AUGAAAAUCCUCGUGUGGAACUGCCAUGGGAUGCGUAAACAUCCGGCAGUUCGGGCGCUCCUGGGGAUCCAAGAGCGAAUAAUACCAGAUGUGUUGUUCCUGUCUAAAACACACCUAGACAUGGCUAAGGCAGGAAAACUGAGAAGGAGGUUAGGGUUUGAUGAGAUGGAAGUUUUGGAAAGUGACGACAGAAGUGGAGGAUUGAUCAUGCUUUGGAAAACUAGCCCGGAAGUCUCAUCUCGGGCUGCUCAUGCAAACAACAUAGAUAUACGCAUCAAGGAGGCGACACCAGUGGGAUGGCGCUUCACAGGCUUCUACGACGAGCCAAGUAGUGACCAAAAGCAUCUGUCGUGGGGAUAUUUGCGUGGUUUGCACGCAUUGGCAAUCUGCCAUGGUUAG
rnacentral:rRNA from 1 species